GCAAGUCGAACGAGAACGGGACUUCGGUCCUUAUUAGAGUGGCGCACGGGUGAGUAACACGUGGGAAUCUACCCUUCAGUACGGAAUAGCCUCGGGAAACUGGGAUUAAUACCGUAUAAUGUCUCCGGACCAAAGAUUCAUCGCUGAAGGAUGAGCCCGCGCUAGAUUAGGUAGUUGGUGGGGUAAUGGCCUACCAAGCCGACGAUCUAUAGCUGGUCUGAGAGGAUGAUC
rnacentral:rRNA from 1 species